rnacentral:rRNA from 1 species
GAUGAACGCUAGCGGCAGGCUUAACACAUGCAAGUCGAGGGGUAUUGGUUUUCGGACCAAGAGACCGGCGCACGGGUGCGUAACGCGUAUGCAAUCUACCUUUUGCAGAGGGAUAGCCCCAGAGAAAUUUGGAUUAAUACCUCAUAGUAUAGUACUUUGGCAUCAAGGAACUAUUAAAGUCACAACGGCAAAAGAUGAGCAUGCGUCCCAUUAGCUAGUUGGUAAGGUAACGGCUUACCAAGGCUACGAUGGGUAGGGGUUCUGAGAGGGAGAUCCCCCACACUGGUACUGAGACACGGACCAGACUCCUACGGGAGGCAGCAGUGAGGAAUAUUGGACAAUGGGCGCAAGCCUGAUCUAGCCAUGCCGCGUGCAGGAUGACGGUCCUAUGGAUUGUAAACUGCUUUUAUACAGGAAGAAACACUCCGACGUGUCGGAGCUUGACGGUACUGUAAGAAUAAGGGAUCGGCUAACUCCGUGCCAGCAG